rnacentral:rRNA from 1 species
AUUGAACGCUGGCGGAAUGCUUUACACAUGCAAGUCGAACGGUAGAGGGGGCAACCCCUUGAGAGUGGCGAACGGGUGAGUAAUAUAUCGGAACGUGCCCAGUCGUGGGGAUAACGUAGCGAAAGUUACGCUAAUACCGCAUACGAUCUAAGGAUGAAAGCGGGGGAUCGCAAGACCUCGCGCGAUUGGAGCGGCCGAUAUCAGAUUAGGUAGUUGGUGGGGUAAAGGCUCACCAAGCCAACGAUCUGUAGCUGGUCGUCCUCU